rnacentral:rRNA from 1 species
GAUGAACGCUGGCGGCGUGCUUAACACAUGCAAGUCGAACGGUGAAGCAGGAGCUUGCUCUUGUGGAUCAGUGGCGAACGGGUGAGUAACACGUGAGCAACCUGCCCCUGACUCUGGGAUAAGCGCUGGAAACGGCGUCUAAUACUGGAUAUGUGAUGUGACCGCAUGGUCUGCAUCUGGAAAGAAUUUCGGUUGGGGAUGGGCUCGCGGCCUAUCAGCUUGUUGGUGAGGUAAUGGCUUACCAAGGCGUCGACGGGUAGCCGGCCUGAGAGGGUGACCGGCCACACUGGGACUGGGACACGGCCCAGACUCCUACGGGAGGCAGCAGUGGGGAAUAUUGCACAAUGGGCGGAAGCCUGAUGCAGCAACGCCGCGUGAGGGAUGACGGCCUUCGGGUUGUAAACUUCUUUUAGCAGGGAAGAAGCGAAAGUGACGGUACCUGCAGAAAAAGCACCGGCUAACUACGUGCCAGCCGCCGCCGUAA